AACGAACGCUGGCGGCAUGCCUAACACAUGCAAGUCGAACGAGACCUUCGGGUCUAGUGGCGCACGGGUGCGUAACGCGUGGGAACCUGCCCUUAGGUUCGGAAUAACUCCCCGAAAGGGGUGCUAAUACCGGAUAAUGUCUUCGGACCAAAGAUUUAUCGCCUUUGGAUGGGCCCGCGUUGGAUUAGCUAGUUGGUAGGGUAAAAGCCUACCAAGGCGACGAUCCAUAGCUGGUCUGAGAGGAUGAUCAGCCACACUGGGACUGGGACACGGCCCAGACUCCUACGGGAGGCAGCAGUGGGGAAUAUUGGACAAUGGGCGAAAGCCUGAUCCAGCAAUGCCGCGUGAGUGAUGAAGGCCUUAGGGUUGUAAAGCUCCUUUACCCGGGAUGAUAAUGACAGUACCGGGAGAAUAAGCUCCGGCUAACUCCGUG
rnacentral:rRNA from 1 species